UACGUAGGGGGGCAAGCGUUGUCCGGAUUUUAUUUGGGCGUAAAGAGCGUGUAGGCGGCCAGACAGGUCCGUUUGUGAAAACUAGAGGCUUAACCUCUAGACGUCAUGGAAACCAUCUGGCUAGAGUCCGGAAGAGGAGAGUGGAAUUCCUGGUGUAGCGGUGAAAUGCGCAGAUAUCGGAAGGAACAUCAGUGGCGAAAGCGACUUCCUGGACCAGUACCGACGUCAGGCACGAAAGCGUGGGGAGCAAACAGG
rnacentral:rRNA from 1 species